rnacentral:piRNA from 1 species
UAGGUGUAAGAUGAACAAAGACAC